GUGGGGAAUCUUGCACAAUGGGGGCAACCCUGAUGCAGCGACGCCGCGUGAGCGAUGAAGCCCUUCGGGGCGUAAAGCUCUUUAGACCGGAACGAUAAUGACGGUACCGGGAGAAGAAGCUGCGGCUAACUACGUGCCAGCAGCCGCGGUAAUACGUAGGCAGCAAGCGUUGUUCGGAGUUACUGGGCGUAAAGAGUGCGUAGGCGGUUUUCUAAGCUCGGUGUGAAAUCUCCCGGCUUAACUGGGAGGGUGCGCCGAAGACUGGGAAGCUGGAGUGUGGGAAAGGCAGGCGGAAUUCCUGGUGUAGCGGUGAAAUGCGUAGAUAUCAGGAGGAACACCGGCGGUGUAGACGGCUUGCUAGACCAUAACUGACGCUGAGGCACGAAAGCGUGGGUAGCAAACA
rnacentral:rRNA from 1 species